rnacentral:rRNA from 1 species
GAUGAACGCUGGCGGCGUGCCUAAUACAUGCAAGUCGAGCGAACAGACGAGGAGCUUGCUCCUCUGACGUUAGCGGCGGACGGGUGAGUAACACGUGGAUAACCUACCUAUAAGACUGGGAUAACUUCGGGAAACCGGAGCUAAUACCGGAUAAUAUAUUGAACCGCAUGGUUCAAUAGUGAAAGACGGUUUUGCUGUCACUUAUAGAUGGAUCCGCGCCGCAUUAGCUAGUUGGUAAGGUAACGGCUUACCAAGGCGACGAUGCGUAGCCGGCCUGAGAGGGUGAUCGGCCACACUGGAACUGAGACACGGUCCAGACUCCUACGGGAGGCAGCAGUAGGGAAUCUUGCGCAAUGGGCGAAAGCCUGACGGAGCAACGCCGCGUGAGUGAUGAAGGUCUUCGGAUCGUAAAACUCUGUUAUUAGGGAAGAACAAAUGUGUAAGUAACUAUGCACGUCUUGACGGUACCUAAUCAGAAAGCCACGGCUAACUACGUG